rnacentral:rRNA from 1 species
AUUGAACGCUGGCGGCAGGCCUAACACAUGCAGGUCGAGCGGAUGAAGGGAGCUUGCUCCUGGAUUCAGCGGCGGACGGGUGAGUAAUGCCUAGGAAUCUGCCUGGUAGUGGGGGAUAACGUCCGGAAACGGGCGCUAAUACCGCAUACGCCCUGAGGGAGAAAGUGGGGGAUCUUCGGACCUCACGCUAUCAGAUGAGCCUAGGUCGGAUUAGCUAGUUGGUGGGGUAAAGGCCUACCAAGGCGACGAUCCGUAACUGGUCUGAGAGGAUGAUCAGUCACACUGGAACUGAGACACGGUCCAGACUCCUACGGGAGGCAGCAGUGGGGAAUAUUGGACAAUGGGCGAAAGCCUGAUCCAGCCAUGCCGCGUGUGUGAAGAAGGUCUUCGGAUUGUAAAGCACUUUAAGUUGGGAGGAAGGGCAGUAUGUUAAUGCCUUGAUGUUUUGACGUUACCAACAGAAUAAGCACCGGCUAACUUCGUG